rnacentral:rRNA from 1 species
GAUGAACGCUGGCGGCGUGCCUAAUACAUGCAAGUCGAGCGGACGGACGCGAAGCUUGCUUCUCUGACGUUAGCGGAACACGGGUGAAUCACACGUGGAUCACCUACCUAUAUGUCUGGUAUAACUACGAGAAACCGGAGCUUAUACCGGAUAAUAUUUUGAACCACAGGGUUCAAUAGUAAAAGUCGGUCUUGCUGUCACUUCUAGAUGGAUCCGCGCUGCAUUAGCUAGUUGGUACGGUAACGGCUUACCAAGGGAACGAUGCGUAGCCGACCGGUGAGAGUGAUAGGCCACACUGGAGCUGAGACACGGUCCAGACUCCUACGGGACGGAGCAGUAGCGUAUCUGCCGCAAUGGGCGAGAGCCUGACAGAGCGACGCGGCGUGAGUGAUGGAAGUCUUCGGAGCGUAAUACUCUGCUAUGAGUGAAGAACAGAUUUGUACGUAACUGUGGAGUGCGUGACGGUACUGAGUAAGAAAGCCACGGCUAACUACGUG